CGGCGUGGAUGAGGCAUGCAAGUCGCACGAUAUAGGGGCAACUCUAUAUAGUGGCGCAAGGGUUAGUAAUACAUAGGUAAUCUGCCUCUGACUUGGGAAUAACGGCUGGAAACGGCCGCUAAUACCGAAUGAGGUGGCGCAGGGCAUCCUGUGCUUAUCAAAGCGGGGGAUCGAAAGACCUUGCGGUUAGAGAAGAGUCUAUGGGAUAUCAGCUAGUUGGUAAGGUAACGGCCCACCAAGGCUAAGACGUCUAGGCGGAUUGAGAGAUUGGCCGCCAACACUGGGACUGA
rnacentral:rRNA from 1 species